UACAGAGGUUCCGAGCGUUAUGCGGAAUCACUGGGCUUAAAGCGUGUGUAGGCGGACCGUUAAGUGUCUUGUGAAAUCCCCCGGCUCAACCGGGGAAUUGCUGGGCAUACUGGCGGUCUUGAGCAGUCUAGGGGCAGAUGGAACAAGUGGUGGAGCGGUGAAAUGCGUAGAUAUCACUUGGAACGCCAAAGGUGAAGACAGUCUGCUGGGGACUUGCUGACGCUGAGACACGAAAGCCAGGGGAGCGAACGGG
rnacentral:rRNA from 1 species